UACAGAGGCCCCAAGCGUUACUGAGAAUCACUGGGCUUAAAGGGUGCGUAGGCGGCGCGUUAAGUCCGUUGUGAAAGCCCUGGGCUCAACCCAGGAACUGCUUCGGAUACUGGCGCGCUUGAGGCUAGUAGGGGUCACUGGAACUGACGGUGGAGCGGUGAAAUGCGUAGAUAUCGGCAGGAACGCCAAUGGUGAAGACAGGUGACUGGGCUAGUUCUGACACUGAGGCACGAAAGCGUGGGGAGCAAACGGG
rnacentral:rRNA from 1 species